UAAGUUAAUGAUAACGUUUUAAAAACAUUAUCUUAUUUUUAAAUCUAUUUUCUAUAUUUAUUUCAAAUAUCGAAAUAAUUUAUAUUCUGAAA
rnacentral:snoRNA from 1 species